rnacentral:rRNA from 1 species
CCAUUCAAGGAAGGCGCAGGCGCGCAAUUACCCAAUCCUGACUCAGGGAGGUAGUGACAAGAAAUAACAAUAAACCGGCUUAUGCCGGUUUAAUUGGAAUGAGUACAAUUUAAACAUCUUAACGAGGAACAAUUGGAGGGCAAGUCUGGUGCCAGCAGCCGCGGUAAUUCCAGCUCCAAUAGCGUAUACUAAAGUUGUUGCAGUUAAAAAGCUCGUAGUUGGAUUUCUGUGGGGACGGAGCGGCCGGCCGCACAUCGCGGUUCGAGCUAGCGCUUUCCCUACAUCCUGCCGCGAACCGUGCUACCAUUAAUUUGGUGGCGCCGGGGAUCGGCUCGAUUACUUUGAGAAAAAUAGAGUGUUCAAAGCAGGCCACAUGCCUUGAAUAAGUUAGCAUGGAAUAAUAACUAAGGACUUCGGUUCUAUUUUGUUGGUGUUCGGGACUGAAGUAAUGAUUGAUAGGGACAGUUGGGGCGGUCUGUAUUCCAAAGCGAGAGGUGAAAUUCUUAGACCUUCGGAAGACAAACAGCUGCGAAAGCGUUCCGCAAGGAUGUUCCCUUUGAUCAAGAACGAAAGUUGGGGGAUCGAAGACGAUCAGAUACCGUCGUAGUCUCAACUAUAAACUAUACCAGCUAGGGAUCGGCCAACGUUAUUUUAUACCGACUUGGUCGGCACCUUAUGAGAAAUCAAAGCAUCUGGGUUCCGGGGGGAGUAUGGUCGCAAGGCUGAAACUUAAAGGAAUUGACGGAAGGGCACCACCAGCCGUGGAGCCUGUGGCUUAAUUUGACUCAACACGGGAAAACUUACCAGGUCCAGACAUAGUAAGGAUUGACAGAUUGAUAGCUCUUUCUUGAUUCUGUGGGUGGUGGUGCAUGGCCGUUCUUAGUUGGUGGAGUGAUUUGUCUGGUUAAUUCCGUUAACGAACGAGACCCCAGCCUGCUAAAUAGCGCGCGUGAGCUUUGCUCGCGGCGAGCUUCUUAGAGGGACUAUGAUGCGCGAUAGCACAUGGAAGUUUGGGGCAAUAACAGGUCUGUGAUGCCCUUAGAUGUUCUGGGCCGCACACGGGCUACACUGGCGCCUGCAACGAGCAUAUCAGCUGGCCCGAGAGGGUCUUGGCUAAUCUUUUGAACCGGCGCCGUGCUUGGGAUUGACCUUUGCAAUUGUUGGUCAUGCAACGAGGAAUGCCUUGUAAACGCGAGUCAUCAGCUCGCAUUGAAUACGUCCCUGCCCUUUGUACACACCGCCCGUCGCUCCUACCGAUGAAUGUUCCGAUGAAAUUUUCGGAGAGCACCUGUGAACUUGGCUCUGCCUUGCGAACGGGAGGCUCAAAGUCACUUAAAUUUGAAACCUUAA